CCUACGGGAGGCAGCAGUGGGGAAUAUUGCGCAAUGGGCGAAAGCCUGACGCAGCGACGCCGCGUGAGGGAUGAAGGUCUUCGGAUCGUAAACCUCUGUCAGCAGGGAAGAACGGUCACUGUGCUAAUCAGCAGUGAAUUGACGGUACCUGCAAAGGAAGCACCGGCUAACUCCGUGCCAGCAGCCGCGGUAAUACGGAGGAUUCAAGCGUUAUUCGGAUUUAUUGGGUUUAAAGGGUGCGUAGGCGGUUCGAUAAGUUAGAGGUGAAAUCCCUGGGCUCAAACCGGGCACUGCCUCUGAUACUGGUGGACGUGAGUUUAGUUGAGGUAGGCGGAAUGUGUGGUGUAGCGGUGAAAUGCAUAGAGAUCAUACAGAACACCGAUUGCGAAGGCAGCUUACCAAACUACGACUGACGCUGAGGCACGAAAGCGUGGGGAGCAAACAGGAUUAGAUACCCGAGUAGUC
rnacentral:rRNA from 1 species